rnacentral:rRNA from 1 species
AGACAGGUGGUGCAUGGUUGUCGUCAGCUCGUGUCGUGAGAUGUUGGGUUAAGUCCCGCAACGAGCGCAACCCUUAUUGUUAGUUGCUACCAUUUAGUUGAGCACUCUAGCGAGACUGCCCGGGUUAACCGGGAGGAAGGUGGGGAUGACGUCAAAUCAUCAUGCCCCUUAUGUCUAGGGCUACACACGUGCUACAAUGGCAAGUACAAAGAGAAGCAAGACCGUGAGUGGAGCAAAACUCAAAACUUGUCUCAGUUCGGAUUGUAGGCUGAAACUCGCCUACAUGAAGCUGGAGUUGCUAGUAAUCGCGAAAUCAGCAUGUCGCGGUGAAUACGUUCCCGGGCCUUGUCACACCGCCCGUCCACACCAU